GGAACAAAAAGACAUAUUUCGACAUUCUGAUGUUUUUUUUUUUAUCUGUCUGUCUGUCCGUCUGUCUGUGUGUCUGUCUAUCUAUGUAGUGCCUCAGAUGAAAUAUUUUUUCUUCAUUUUCUCGUACGCUUUUGCAGAAUAACUUUAUUUUUCUCUCUCUCUCUCUCUCUCUCUCUCUCUCUCUCUCUCUCUCUCUCUCUCUCUCUCUCUCUCUCUCUCUCUAAGGCUCAUCCUACUUUUCACAUCCUCCUUCUCCUCCUCCUUAAUCUGCACCUCCUCCUCUUCCCUUUGUCUUCUUCCUUUCUCCUCACCACCAUCCUUCCCCUUCCCUCCCCUUCCCCUCCUCUCCCCAUCAUUUAAUUAGCAAUAAAAUCAGCAGACGUUGGAAGCAACAAUAACUGGUGGCUACAAAAGUUAUUAUUGUCUCCCCUCUCCUGUCCCCUCUUCCCUUCCCCUUCUCUCCUCUCUUCUUUCUUAUCGUUCCUCCUCUGUUUCCUCGCUUCAUUACAGACACAUCUCUCCAUAUCUCUCAUUCUUUCUCCGUUCUUUCUCUGCUUUCCUCUAUUUUUUUCCCUUCUCUCUCAUCCUCUCCUCCCUUCCCUCUCCCACCAUCUCCCAUCUCCUCUUCUUCCUUAUUCCUCCUUCCAUUUCCUCUCUCAUUUCUCCCUCGCCUUCUCUUCUUUCUCUCUCUCUCCAUUCUCCCUUUUAUCCCCCUUCUCUCUCUCUCUCUCUCUCUCUCUCUGUCUCUCUCUCUCUCUCUCUCUCUCUCUCUCUCUCUCUCUCUCUCUCUCUCUCUCUCUCUCUCUCUCUCUCUCUCUCUCUCCCUCCCAUCUCGUCUUCCUUACCUGAUACUUUAUCUAACAAGGUUCAGCCAAGUGCUCUUAUCACCUGUUAUCUGGCCCUGGGAGAGAGAGAGAGAGAGAGAGAGAGAGAGAGAGAGAGAGAGAGAGAGAGAGAGAGAGAGAGAGUCGAGAGCCUUGAUUUUAGUGCAUAAUAGAGAUAGAGUGAGAGAGAGAGAGUUGAUGAUUAGGACAUAUAUGAAAGAAAGGAAGGAAAAGAGAUAAUGAAAUGUGUUUGUGUACAGAGAGAGAGAGAGAGAGAGAGAGAGAGAGAGAGAGAGAGAGAGAGAGAGAGAGAAGCAUCAUGUGAUUUACUUUUGUUACGUGAUCGUGUGUGAAUGCAGAGAGCAAGAAAACGUACAGAACACAAACAUAUUCUUUCAGUCAUGGACGAGAAGGUUAAGGGAAGAAACAAAAUUUAAAAAAAAUGCUGUUUUCCUUUAUUAAUUUGUGAAAGUAGGAUUCGAAAAUAUUACUGAGUUUGAGAUGAAUGUAAACUCUUAGUAACUGUUGUUUCAUAGAGACAGAGCGUGAGCAUACUUGUAAGGAGGGUGAAGGAACGUUAGUGAGUCUAAGAUGAGUGAACGCAUACACAGAAUGAAAAUGUAUUUGUGAAAGGAAAUAUAAAAAAAAAAAUUGUGUAUUUGAGAAUCUGAGAUGAAUGAACAACUUAUAUUAUUUUCGUUCCUCUCUCAACUUUUUUUCGUCCCAGAUUGAAAUAAUAGAUUUGUUUUCCAUGAUUUUCCUGUUUCAUAGAUACGCACCAUGAGCUCAAAUAUAAAAAAGAAAUCAGUAAAGAGAGAGAGAGAGAGAGAGAGAGAGAGAGAGAGAGAGAGAGAGAGAGAGAGAGAGAGAGAGUGGGUGGAGAAUGAGUAGGGAUGCAUUACAAAAAAUGAUAGAAAAUGAAGAAAAUAAGUUGAAAUGUGAGGAAGGCAAGCAGCUGUGAGGGGGAAGAGGAAGCACGGAGUAAAUUUGGUAGUAUGUAGAUGGAGAGAAUUAGCAUGAGAAGCAAGGAUCUCAAGAGGAGGAAGAAGAGGACGUCUAUGUGUUUUAUAAAAAGUUGAGAAAUGGAGAAAAUUAGUAUGUGAAGAAGCAAGGUUACGAAGAAGAGGAGGAGGAGGAAGAAUAAGAAUAAAAAGACAUUGUAUGUUUUAUAAAAGUUAAGAUACAUGGAGAGAAUUAGUAUGAGUAGAAGGAGAAGCGAGGAAGAGGAAGACGAAGAAGAAGAGUAAGAGGAAGAGGAAGACGAAGAAGAGGAGGAGGAUAUCUCUGUUUUCUAAAAGUUAUGAUACAUGAACAAAAUUAGUAUGAGGAGGAAAAGUACGAGAAGGAAGAGGAGGAGAGAGAUGAAAAAGAAGAAGAGAAAGAGGUGAAGAAUAUCUAUGUGUUUUCUAAAAGUUGUGAAACAUGAACAGAAUUAGUAUGAGGAGAAGGAGGAGGAGGAGAAGGAGGACAUGUGUGAGUGUUUUGUAAAAGUUGUGAUCCACAGAGACAGCAGCGUGAGUUAGAGUGAUGCAACAUGACCCUGGGGAGAGAGAAGGAGUGAGUGAGUGAGUGAGUGAGUGAGUGAGUGAGUGAGUGAGAGAUUAGAGGCAGGAUCUGGGAGAGCAGGGGAGAUAAUGGUAUCAAGAGACUGUUGAGGACUGUAUGUGUGUGUGUGUGUGUGUGUGUGUGUGUGUGUGUGUGUGUGUGUGUGUGUGUGUGUGUGUGUGUGUGUGUGUGAAA